GCAACGCGAAGAACCUUACCUGGUCUUGACAUCCCGGAGACCCUUAGGAAACUAGGGGGUGCUUCCAUCUGGAAGAAUCUGGAGACAGGUGCUGCAUGGCUGUCGUCAGCUCGUGUCGUGAGAUGUUGGGUUAAGUCCCGCAACGAGCGCAACCCUUGCCUUUAGUUGCCAGCAGUUCGGCUGGGCACUCUAAAGGGACUGCCGGUGUUAAACCGGAGGAAGGUGGGGAUGACGUCAAGUCCUCAUGGCCUUUAUGGCCAGGGCUACACACGUACUACAAUGGCCGAUACAAAGGGCAGCGACACUGCGAGGUGAAGCCAAUCCCGUAAAAUCGGUCUCAGUCCGGAUUGGAGUCUGCAACUCGACUCCAUGAAGUUGGAAUCGCUAGUAAUCGUGGAUCAGCAUGCCACGGUGAAUACGUUCCCGGGCCUU
rnacentral:rRNA from 1 species